AAGUGUACAUGUUUUGCGUCGAAAUAAAUUCAACAAUAUUGAGGUUCGCCAGUUUUUCAAUUUCGCAUGGGGGGGUCAGAUUCGGGAAUAUGCUGUGUUUUACGUAAUGCUUAUGGACACUUUGAAUGAACUGUUAGCGAGGAUUAGAGAUUAUAGCGAACCUAGGGAUCUCUUACAGUUGGAAAUUUGUGGAGACAGUCUACAGAGCAAGGUAUCGCUUAUUUUACAGAAUGGUGAAGCAGAGCUUGAACAAUUUGUUAAACUGCUAGAACGCCUUGUUCAGUCAAAUUUAAACGUGCUAGCAGAUAGGACCCUCGAACUUGUAGUACAAUUAGUACGACAACCACAAGGGGGCGGGGGUCAGAGACGAAAGCUCGAGAGUUUAAUGCAGUCCGAAAUCAUAAGCAAUAAAAGGGCCUAUCUCAUAAACGUUCACAAUCCAGGUAAUAAGCUAUGUUUUGCCAUAGGUUUGGCCCACUUACUCAGCCCAGGAUGUACUGAUCAAGCCGCGUUACAAAAAGCUCGAGAGCUACAAACUGCGGUGGGUCUCGGUAUACAGGAUGCUGUGGCUUUCUCAGACAUAGUCAAAUUUGAAAACUUUCUGAACAUCAAGAUUGUGGUUUUGUACCACAGUAGGGCUAAUGACGCUCUCCUCAAGUUCCAAAAUAUACCCGAACCACAUCCUAAGACUAUGUACUUUUAUGUGCAAAAUGAGCAUUACUAUGCCGUAACUAACAUCACAGCCUUUUUAGGCGCGCCAUAUGUCUGUCCAGCCUGUCAUACCGGCUACACACGCAUGGGGGGGCACUCGUGCCGUUACAACUGUUCAGUAUGUCUGGAUAAACAUUGCCCUAUGCAGCCGCUAAACUUGACCCCCUGUGCGGAUUGUCACCGCACAUGUCGUUCGGCCUACUGUUACGAAAAACACAAAACUGAAACAUGGCAUCCCAAGGCAUGUAAAUCUGUAAGCAGUUGUGACAUUAACAAGAAAUGUCCAAAAUGUCAUUGCAAUUACAACCUUAAAAUAGAUAGCCCUAAACCUCAUGUUUGUGGAAUUAUACACUGCCCAAUCUGUAAAGGUCCUUUGAAAAGCAGAGACGCGGAAGCGGUUCAAGAAGUAACACAUGAGUGUUACAUUCAGCCCUUGGCUGAAGAUGAACAUACAGAGAAAUAUGUGUUUUAUGAUUUUGAGACAAAUCAGCAAUCAGGGGUUCAUUUGCC
rnacentral:lncRNA from 1 species